CCUACGGGAGUCAGCAGUGAGGAAUAUUGGUCAAUGGACGCAAGUCUGAACCAGCCAUGCCGCGUGCAGGAAGACGGCUCUAUGAGUUGUAAACUGCUUUUGUACGAGGGUAAACGCAGAUACGUGUAUCUGUCUGAAAGUAUCGUACGAAUAAGGAUCGGCUAACUCCGUGCCAGCAGACGCUGUGAUACGGAGGAUUCAAGCGUUAUCCGGAUUUAUUGGGUUUAAAGGGUGCGUAGGCGGUCGGAUAAGUUAGAGGUGAAAUCCCGAGGCUCAACUUCGGACGUGCCUCUGAUACUGUUCGGCUGGAGUGUAGUUGCGGUAGGUGGAAGGUAAGGUGUAGCGGUGAAAUGCUUAGAGAUCAUACAGAACACCGAUUGCGAAGGCAGCUUACCAAGCUACUUCUGACGUUGAGGCACGAAAGCGUGGGGAGCAAACAGGAUUAGAUACCCUUGUAGUC
rnacentral:rRNA from 1 species